UACGUAGGGUGCGAGCGUUAAUCGGAAUACUGGGCGUAAGCGUGCGCAGGCGGUUAUGCAAGACAGAUGUGAAAUCCCCGGGCUCAACCUGGGAACUGCAUUUGUGACUGCAUGGCUGGAGUGCGGCAGAGGGGGAUGGAAUUCCGCGUGUAGCAGUGAAAUGCGUAGAUAUGCGGAGGAACACCGAUGGCGAAGGCAAUCCCCUGGGCCUGCACUGACGCUCAUGCACGAAAGCGUGGGGAGCAAACAGG
rnacentral:rRNA from 1 species